GCCUCCGCGCCGCUCUGUGCUUAGGUGGCCGCGAGGCCGCCUCGACCCAGGGGAGCAGGAAGGAAGCCCGGGAGCGCCCUGCACCUGUGCCUGCCUCUGCGCACCUCCCCAAGAGCCAGGGCCAACGAGGGGUCCCCUCACCCUCAAAUCUACCUCCUCAGAGAGGCUGGUCCUCCCGGGCCUGCCGCGAUCCCUCGGGGUGGUCUCGGUGAGUCAGGGAGGGUCCUUGAAAUAGGGGUCCGGGGCCCGGCCCUCCGACCUGACGGGGACAGCGAGUCACUCAGUGAGUUUGAACAGCUACCUGCUCCUCUGGGCCUCAGUUUCCUCCCUGUGAAGUGAGGGACGGGGCUAAAGGCUGGUAUCCCUGAGCUGAGGCUCCGGAGUUCAGUCCAUCGCCACCAGCUCAGGCACGGAGAAGACAGUCGACCUACGCACAGGAGCCAGGGAAACCGUGUGACCCAAAGUUAACGGGGAGAAACCCAGAAAACCUGAUGUCUUAUAUCCAGCUGCUCUUAAGAAAGAGUCUUUCUGGAGCAGACAGCGAGGGGAGCUGCACUCAGCCACUGGAAUGCAGGUGACAGCUGAUGGGCACAGGACCUCAGGUGCAGCCUUAAGUAUGUUCUGUUCCAUUUGCAGAAAGUUCAGAAAGCCUCAGCCUUUCCUCAGAAAACCUGGAAGAUGCAAUGCCCUGGCUGAUUUGGACUUGUAUGCCUUACCUGUGAGCAAGUCAUCUCCUGGGAACACCUCUAAUUUUUAAGAUUCCAAUGAUGCCACCACCUGACAUGUUUUUAACCACACAGUCCCAGGAUCCAGGCCAUGGGAUGCUUGCUAAUGGGGCCUUGGGGAGCUGAAUUUAGAGGCUGAGUAUCCUCUGAUGGGGUCAGGGAGGAAAGGAUUUGGUUGCACCUCCAGCUUGCACAGGGCUCCCGACCAGCCCGGCCCAGCCUCCUCUGUACUAUGCUCUAGCUUAUGAGGCCUCCUGGUUCCACCCACCACCUGGCAGGGCCAACCUCUUUGUUCUCCUUGCCUCGUGGGGAUAAGGAGAACCUCACUAAGUCAUCCAGUUCGAGGAGACCCAGAUGUGGAGUCAGCCCCCAUUCUACUCUGCCACCCCACCCUCCCCACCUGGGGGAGUGACAAUCUCUGGGACCUGAACUCGGUGACUCCACCUAACCCCAAACUUCAAGAACAUCGGUGGCUGAGAGCCCAGGAUCUCCUUCCCACAAAGCCACAUGUUCUACUAGCCAGACUUGGGGUCUGAGGUUUGAGAGACAGUCGCUCUGCCCUCUCAGGUCACCACUCCAACUUUCCUCCAGCCGUCCCUUUUUCCUACCCACGGCCCUGUGCUUAUUCAGGCCCAAAGCCAGGGAGACCACAGGUCAGGAUCUCACAAGUAUUGCAAUCCUAGUGCAUUCUUGUCCUAUGUAAAAUUUUCGAUCUUUUCCUAAAACCGAUUUAUUUUCCGUUUUAUUAUCCUGAAAUGUAAUUGGUCUUCUCCUCUUUCAAGUAUAGCUAUUCACUAGCCCAUACUUAUAAACUUGUACCCUUCAGAAAGGAUUUCUUGUUCUCUUUCUUGUAUUUUCUCAUUUUACCUUGAAAGUGCAGCCUUAUCUUCUGUAUUCCCACAGGCAGUGCUGAGAACACCCAAUAAGGUGCACCCAACAGAAACAUUUUAUGCUGUUUGUCAGUUGCUUGUUUGGGGAGAAGGGGCCACAGAUGGGUAAAUUUUCUUGGCUUUUCUUGCUUAACUACACGUAACUUUCUAGGGUGGGUUUUCAUUAUAACAUGAAUCUCUGCAAACAUUUUUAGGCACCAGCCAGCAAAGAUACAUACACUGUCUUCUCUUCUCCCUUUUGCACAGUGAUCUUGGUGGCACCCACUUUGGGGAGGGUUGGAUUUAUCACAUUGUUAUUCCAAAGAAACUUGACUUUCUCAAUUGUUCCAACAUCCAGCUUUGCAUCAAACUCAUAGGAAUGGGUUGAGCCUGGUUUGAGAAUCCCCCUUGAAAUAGAGAAACAUAAACAUCCCUGUUCACGGAAAUGAGUUCUAAUUACCAUACAAUGCCAGGCUGCUGUUUUCUCUUCUAGAUUAACAGGAUUAUUUUUCCGAAUUAAUUUCCAAAUAAAGGAUGGAGAAAUGGAAAAGCCAGCUAUAUGCUAGCACCUCAAACUAUGGUUUUUAAAACUCAAGUUAAUUUUUCCUUAAAGCUUUCUAAUAGAAAAUAAAAUAGAAUUCCUGCAUAUCA